rnacentral:miRNA from 1 species
GGGUGAAAUUCUGGCCCCAAUGAAGUCAAUGGGAGUUUUGCCAUUGACUUCAGUAGAAACAGGAUUUCA